rnacentral:lncRNA from 1 species
GCAGCUGGACUCAGUUUAGAUGAUCCCAAUUUUGUUGGCAACAUCCAAAGCAUCGUAAUCAGGAGCCAGUCGAACAUAUGCCUUCUUCUCUCCAUCAGGUGGGUGACGUGCGGAUCUUCUUCUUUUUGUGGCUGUGGACACCUUUCAACACUGCCUUCUUGGCCUUUAAAGCCUUCGCUUUGGCUUCAGCUUUAGGAGGGGCAGGAGCUUCCUUCUUCGCUUUCGGCGCCAUGUUGUGAAAAGGGUCC